ensembl:lncRNA
GUGUGGCUGAAAUAGAAUCCACUAAUUUAAAGAGUUGUCCACAUACUAUAGUAUAUAUAGUGUAGUUAACAAGUGUAAUAUAUAGUGUCAAUAUUUUUUAUGGUAAGUGUUUUCACUUAAAUAAUCAUUGAAUCAUGAGAUUCAUACAGUAUAUAUUUUUUAAGGAAAGUGUUUUCACUUAAAUCAAUUAAAUACAUGCAGUUGUGCAACUCACCCCUCUCUUUUACCAUCAUGCCUGUAGACAGAGAAGAUAAAACAUGAUGUAUUAUGGGUACUUGAAGAUGAAGACAGACUAUAUCCUCUCUAUUCUGACCUCCUCUGUAGACAGUAGAUAAAACAUGACGUAUUAUGGGUACUAGAACAUGAAGACAGACUACAUCCUCUCUAUUCUGACCUCCUCUGUAGACAGUAGAUAAAACAUGAUGUAUUAUGGUACUAGAACAUACAGACAGACUACAUCCUCUGUAUUCUGACCUCCUCUGUAGACAGUAGAUUAAACAUGAUGUAUUAUGGGUACUAGAACAUGAAGACAGGUACAUAGACAGACAGACAGAAACAUAGACAGACAGACAGGAACACAGACAGACAGACAGGAACACAGUUUUCACUUAAAUUAAUGAAAUACAUGCAUGCAGUUGUGGAAGCACACAGACUUUCACACACAACUUACCGCCUUCUUUUCUGAGCUUGUCUGUAGACAGAAGAUAAAACAUGAUGUAUUAUGGGUACUAGAACAUGAAGACAGACUACAUCCUCUCUAUUCUGACCUCCUCUGUAGACAGAAGACAGAGAAGAUAAAACAUGAUGUAUUAUGGGUACUAGAACAUGAAGACAGACUACAUCCUCUCUAUUCUGACCUCCUCUGUAGACAGUAGAUAAAACAUGAUGUAUUAUGGGUACUAGAACAUGAAGACAGACUACAUCCUCUCUAUUCUGACCUCCUCUGUAGACAGUAGAUAAAACAUGAUGUAUUAUGGUACUAGGACAUGAAGACAGGUACAUAGAUGUGCUCUAUUUCCUUUGAUAAUGUUGUUAAUGUUGAAAAUCAAAUGAAUAUAGUAAACACAGAGUCCAGAUUCGAAGUUCAUCUUCGGGGAGAAAUAUAAUAUACAGUACAGCCAGUAGAGGACUGGUCACCCCUCAGAGCCUGGUUCCUCUGGUCUACCCAGUACAGCCAGUAGAGGACUGGUCACCCCUCAGAGCCUGGUUCCUCUGGUCUACCCAGUACAGUCAGUAGAGGACUGGUCACCCCUCAGAGCCUGGUUCCUCUGGUCUACCCAGUACAGCCAGUAGAGGACUGGCCAACCCCUCAGAGCCUGGUUCCUCUGGUCUACCCAGUACAGCCAGUAGAGGACUGGUCACCCCUCAGAGCCUGGUUCCUCUGGUCUACCCAGUACAGCCAGUAGAGGACUGGUAACCCCUCAGAGCCUGGUUCCUCUCUACCCAGUACAGCCAGUAGAGGACUGGUCACCCCUCAGAGCCUGGUUCCUCUGGUCUACCCAGUACAGCCAGUAGAGGACUGGUCACCCCUCAGAGCCUGGUUCCUCUGGUCUACCCAGUACAGUCAGUAGAGGACUGGUCACCCCUCAGAGCCUGGUUCCUCUGGUCUACCCAGUACAGCCAGUAGAGGACUGGCCACCCCUCAGAGCCUGGUUCCUCUGGUCUACCCAGUACAGCCAGUAGAGGACUGGUAACCCCUCAGAGCCUGGUUCCUCUCUACCCAGUACAGCCAGUAGAGGACUGGUCACCCCUCAGAGCCUGGUUCCUCUGGUCUACCCAGUACAGCCAGUAGAGGACUGGUCACCCCUCAGAGCCUGGUUCCUCUCUACCCAGUAAAGCCAGUAGAGGACUGGUCACCCCUCAGAGCCUGGUUCCUCUGGUCUACCCAGUACAGCCAGUAGAGAACUGGUCACCCCUCAGAGCCUGGUUCCUCUGGUCUACCCAGUACAGCCAGUAGAGGACUGGUCACCCCUCAGAGCCUGGUUCCUCUGGUCUACCCAGUACAGCCAGUAGAGGACUGGUCACCCCUCAGAGUCUGGUUCCUCUGGUCUACCCAGUACAGCUAGUAGAGGACUGGUCACCCCUCAGAGCCUGGUUCCUCUCUACCCAGUAAAGCCAGUAGAGGACUGGUCACCCCUCAGAGCCUGGUUCCUCUCUACCCAGUACAGCCAGUAGAGGACUGGUCACCCCUCAGAGCCUGGUUCUUACCCAGGUGAUAGACUAGAUAAGGUUUAUAUUCCAGUGAUUUGUAACCAGAGGUAGAGAGGUUCUUACCCAGGUGAUAGACUAGAUAAGGUUUAUAUUCCAGUGAUAUGUAACCAGAGGUAGAGAGGUUCUUACCCAGGUGAUAGACUAGAUAAGGUUUCUAUUCCAGUGAUAUGUAACCAGAGGUAGAGAGGUUCUUACCCAGGUGAUAGACUAGAUAAGGUUUAUAUUCCAGUGAUAUGUAACCAGAGGUAGAGAGGUUCUUACCCAGGUGAUAGACUAGAUAAGGUUUAUAUUCCAGUGAUAUGUAACCAGAGGUAGAGAGGUUCUUACCCAGGUGAUAGACUAGAUAAGGUUUAUAUUCCAGUGAUAUGUAACCAGAGGUAGAGAGGUUCUUACCCAGGUGAUAGACUAGAUAAGGUUUAUAUUCCAGUGAUAUGUAACCAGAGGUAGAGAGGUUCUUACCCAGGUGAUAGACUAGAUAAGGUUUAUAUUCCAGUGAUAAGUAACCAGAGGUAGAGAGGUUCUUACCCAGGUGAUAGACUUGAUAAGGUUUAUAUUCCAGUGAUAUGUAACCAGAGGUAGAGAGGUUCUUACCCAGGUGAUAGACUAGAUAAGGUUUAUAUUCCAGUGAUAUGUAACCAGAGAUAGAGAGGUUCUUACCCAGGUUUAAGACAAGUUCAGGUUCCAGAUGCAGUAGAAUCAAGUAAAAUGCUGAUUUCACUCUUGUUCUGUCUUCUGCUUCUGCUUCUUCUAGGGCCUCGUACAACAGUCUCAUCUGGUCCUGGCUGGUCCCGGCAGCACUGAUCUGAGAGUUCAUCUCAUCAGGGAUCAACUUCUUCUUGUGCAGCUCAGACGCUAUGGAUUUCCCCUCGUAAACAUUCUGAAUGAGGUGAUACUUGUUUCUGGUCACAAACUCGGCAUGAUCUAGACAGGUUAGAUGUAGAGUUAUAUACUGUAGAACAAGAGGACAUUACUAGACAGGUUAGAUGUAGAGUUAUAUACUGUAGAACAAGAGGACAUUACUAGACAGGUUAGAUGUAGAGUUAUAUACUGUAGAACAAGAGGACAUUACUAGUCAGGUUAGAUGUAGAGUUAUAUACUGUAGAACAAGAGGACAUUACUAGUCAGGUUAGAUGUAGAGUUAUAUACUGUAGAACAAGAGGACAUUACUAGACAGGUUAGAUGUAGAGUUAUAUACUGUAGAACAAGAGGACAUUACUAGACAGGUUAGAUGUAGAGUUAUAUACUGUAGAACAAGAGGACAUUACUAGUCAGGUUAGAUGUAGAGUUAUAUACUGUAGAACAAGAGGACAUUACUAGUCAGGUUAGAUGUAGAGUUAUAUACUGUAGAACAAGAGGACAUUACUAGUCAGGUUAGAUGUAGAGUUAUAUACUGUAGAACAAGAGGACAUUACUAGUCAGGUUAGAUGUAGAGUUAUAUACUGUAGAACAAGAGGACAUUACUAGACAGGUUAGAUGUAGAGUUAUAUACUGUAGAACAAGAGGACAUUACUAGACAGGUUAGAUGUAGAGUUAUAUACUGUAGAACAAGAGGACAUUACUAGACAGGUUAGAUGUAGAGUUAUAUACUGUAGAACAAGAGGACAUUACUAGACAGGUUAGAUGUAGAGUUAUAUACUGUAGAACAAGAGGACAUUACUAGUCAGGUUAGAUGUAGAGUUAUAUACUGUAGAACAAGAGGACAUUACUAGUCAGGUUAGAUGUAGAGUUAUAUACUGUAGAACAAGAGGACAUUACUAGUCAGGUUAGAUGUAGAGUUAUAUACUGUAGAACAAGAGGACAUUACUAGUCAGGUUAGAUAUAGAGUUAUAUACUGUAGAACAAGAGGACAUUACUAGACAGGUUAGAUGUAGAGUUAUAUACUGUAGAACAAGAGGACAUUACUAGUCAGGUUAGAUAUAGAGUUAUAUACUGUAGAACAAGAGGACAUUACUAGUCAGGUUAGAUGUAGAGUUAUAUACUGUAGAACAAGAGGACAUUACUAGUCAGGUUAGAUGUAGAGUUAUAUACUGUAGAACAAGAGGACAUUACUAGACAGGUUAGAUGUAGAGUUAUAUACUGUAGAACAAGAGGACAUUACUAGUCAGGUUAGAUGUAGAGUUAUAUACUGUAGAACAAGAGGACAUUACUAGUCAGGUUAGAUGUAGAGUUAUAUACUGUAGAACAAGAGGACAUUACUAGACAGGUUAGAUGUAGAGUUAUAUACUGUAGAACAAGAGGACAUUACUAGUCAGGUUAGAUGUAGAGUUAUAUACUGUAGAACAAGAGGACAUUACUAGUCAGGUUAGAUGUAGAGUUAUAUACUGUAGAACAAGACAAAACCAUGAGGUCUGUGAUUAACAGUUGACCCAUCAGUAUUAUAGUAAUAAACCAUGAGGUCUGUGAUUAACAGUUGACCCAUCAGUAUUAUAGUAAUAAACCAUGAGGUCUGUGAUUAACAGUUGACC